rnacentral:rRNA from 1 species
CCUACGGGAGGCAGCAGUGGGGAAUAUUGGGCAAUGGGCGCAAGCCUGACCCAGCAACGCCGCGUGAGUGAAGAAGUAUUUCGGUAUGUAAAGCUCUAUCAGCAGGGAAGAAAAAAGACGGUACCUGACUAAGAAGCCCCGGCUAACUACGUGCCAGCAGCCGCGGUAAUACGUAGGGGGCAAGCGUUAUCCGGAUUUACUGGGUGUAAAGGGAGCGUAGACGGCAAUACAAGUCGGAAGUGAAAUACCCGGGCUCAACCUGGGAACUGCUUUGGAAACUGUAUGGCUAGAGUGCUGGAGAGGUAAGCGGAAUUCCUAGUGUAGCGGUGAAAUGCGUAGAUAUUAGGAGGAACACCAGUGGCGAAGGCGGCUUACUGGACAGUAACUGACGUUGAGGCUCGAAAGCGUGGGGAGCAAACAGGAUUAGAUACCCCGGUAGUC